GGAGAGGUGGCUGAGCGGCUGAAAGCAGCAUCCUGCUAAGAUGUUAAGGGGGUAACUCCUUCAAGGGUUCGAAUCCCUUCCUCUCCGCCA
rnacentral:tRNA from 1 species